UACUGUUUUGAGAUUAUGUGAAUGCAUUGCUUUUAACUAGAAUAUAUAAGAUGUUAAUGAUAUUAUUCUUCAAGUAAUAAAUCAUAUUGCAUAUUGAAUGAAAAGAAAAAUGUAGAACUGACUUCUUAAUCAAGGGCUGUUCUCCCUAGCAUCUGUCCCAAAAGUACGGUGGUUUUCAGCACAUCCGUUCUUCCAUAGGUACCUGCGUCGAGCUCUGCACAGGUGACUGGGACUGCAACCCCGGAGACCACUGUGUCAGCAAUGGGUGUGGCCAUGAGUGUGUUGCAGGGUAAGGACAGAUGAAGAGUUAUCUUAAGGAUCAUCUUUCCCUAAGAUCGUCAUCCCUUCCUGGAGUUCCUAUCUUCCAAGAUGUGACUGUCUGGAGUUCCUUGACUAGGAAGAUGGAUGAAAACAGCAAGCCUGUGGAUGGAGACUACAGGGGAUAUGGGAGGCAGGGAAGAGGGGU
ensembl:lncRNA novel transcript